GUCAGAUUCAGUGGGGUGUGAUCAACUUUGCAAGUGAACUUGUCACAAAGCAAAAAGCAACUUAACUUUCCGGAACUUUCGAGCUUCUUCACGGGCGCAUGGUGUAUGGCCUAUGUCUCAGUUGCAGGCCAGCAAGCACCUGCCUGGCGCCGCUAUGCCUGCCUCAACCGAAAAAAGCCACCCAAAAGUGGGC